UUUUUGCAGAUUUGGUUAUGAAGAUAUUCCUCUUGGAAAGUAUCUGGUUUGGCAGGUUCCCAUGGCCACUGGGGAUUCAACUUGAAGGGAAGCACUGGUGCCUUAGCCAAACUGAAGGAUGAUUCCAUCGUUAAUGAAAACAGGUCAUUAUAAGCAGCAUGGCCCAUUCAUCCACUAGGCAAUCUAUCAGAAUGAUCAGUAUGACUGAUCACUCCACUUAUUUUAUGGGAAGACUUCCUUGCUGCUAAAGAACCCCAGGUAAGACUUGGUUCUGAGAUGAGAGCAUACCCUUGAGGGUACCCGG
rnacentral:lncRNA from 1 species